rnacentral:rRNA from 1 species
CCCGCACAAGCGGUGGAGCACGUGGUUUAAUUCGAAGCAACGCGAAGAACCUUACCAGGUCUUGACGUCCCCUGACAACCCGAGAGAUCGGGCGUUCCCCUUCGGGGGACAGGGUGACAGGUGGUGCAUGGUUGUCGUCAGCUCGUGUCGUGAGAUGUUGGGUUAAGUCCCGCAACGAGCGCAACCCUCGACCUUAGUUGCCAGCAUUCAGCUGGGCACUCUAAGGUGACUGCCGGCUAAAAGUCGGAGGAAGGUGGGGAUGACGUCAAAUCAUCAUGCCCCUUAUGACCUGGGCUACACACGUGCUACAAUGGGCGGUACAAAGGGUCGCGAACCCGCGAGGGGGAGCCAAUCCCAAAAAGCCGCUCUCAGUUCGGAUUGCAGGCUGCAACUCGCCUGCAUGAAGCCGGAAUCGCUAGUAAUCGCGGAUCAGCAUGCCGCGGUGAAUACGUUCCCGGGCCUU